GUGUCUCUGUGGUCCUUUGUGCAAGCAGCACCAGAGAUGUAAAGAGGCAUGGGGAAAAUGCAGCUAAUACUGAUUUGGUGAAUAUUUCAUCAGGGCCUCACACAAAUCCCACGCUCAAAUGUGACACAGAGGUAAGGAAACAAACCAACCAGCUGGAGGCCCUCCAAGUUGGUAACUAUUUCUGCUCAUUUUUUCAGGUUUAUCUACCUUGCUGAGUGCUUCUGUAAAGUUCUGUCAUGUCAAUAUUUCAUUUGGAGAAGAGAAAUUCAGUUCAAUUGAUCCAUAAAGUUUUAUGUUCAUAGAACAUAGGGAGAAGAAGAAGAAUCAAAAUUGCUGGUACAGCCUUAACUCACCCUGCCAAGUCCUCUGCAACUGCCUUUGAUGAGCUGAAAGUAUUCCAUACAGGAUGCUCCUCUUGAUUGCUGCAGAACGUGACUUUCCAUUAAGAGACUGUCCAGGGCAUGCUGUAUAUCUCUGAAGAAAAUCUACCACACCAUCUGACAUUGUUCAUAUUCCAUUUUGUAGCAACCCUUAAGACAGAGGCCAGUCUCAGCGCUAAGUAACAUAUGACUGGGAGGACUUCUCAAACUUCAGAGGACUUCUCAAACUUCAACUGAUGCCAACAGCAGCAACUAGGGAAUGAUCUCUCCUGACUGACACUCUGUUUUCAUACACAGUUUAUGGAGCUUAGUUAAUGUGUCGCCCUAAACAGUUGCUGCUUUUCUCUUUCUGUAUGAUAAUGAAUCUUGUGACAAAGCCAAAAGUACCUGAUGAGAAGGAAAGGAAACAGAAAUGUUUUCGUUGCAAAGAUCACCACAGGGAGACAUGGGUGAUUUAAGCACCUGUGCAGUGAGUAACACAAAUGUGGCUCAUACACUAUUUUGCCCUCCCAUCCUUUCUUUUCUGCUUAUUACUAACACCUCAAAGAGCAGGA